rnacentral:piRNA from 1 species
GCUUUGGUGACAACAUGUGAA